rnacentral:rRNA from 1 species
AUGGUAUGCUGGAAUGUUAGGGGACUAAAUAGCCCUGCGAAACGGAAAGCACUUAGGGAGUUUGUAGCCUCGAUUCAUACUGCCAUCAUGUGUAUCUUAGAGACUAAGUUGGAGGUGGUUGAUCAGUUUGUAAUAAUGCAAUGCCUUGGUCCAGCGUAUGAUGGUUUCUUUUAUCUUCCGGCCUCUGACACCCGUGGAGGUAUUUUCGUGGCGUGGGACUCUACUAAGGUGCAGUUGACAAAUUUUGUCAACGACACAAACUUCAUCACGGGUUAUGUCACCCCGGUAGAAGGGUCGGCCUGGUGGCUGACGGUGGUGUAUGGGCCAUAG